rnacentral:rRNA from 1 species
AGAGUUUGAUCCUGGCUCAGAACGAACGCUGGCGGCGUGCCUAACACAUGCAAGUCGAACGGAAUUGAGGUGCUUGCACUUCAAUUUAGUGGCGCACGGGUGAGUAACGCGUAGAUAAUCUGCCUGAUGAUCUGGGAUAACACUUCGAAAGAGGUGCUAAUACCGGAUAAGCCCACGGAGUCUUUGGAUUCUGCGGGAAAAGGGGGGGACCUUUUGGCCUUCUGUCAUCAGAUGAGUCUGCGUACCAUUAGCUAGUUGGUAGGGUAAUGGCCUACCAAGGCUACGAUGGUUAGCUGGUCUGAGAGGAUGAUCAGCCACACUGCGUAACUGAGACACGGUUCCAGUACUCCUACGGGAGGCA